rnacentral:tRNA from 1 species
GCUUGGUUAGCUCAGUUGGUAAAGCUUGAGACUCUUGAUCUUGGGGUUGUGAGUUUGAUCCCCAUGUUGGGCA